rnacentral:rRNA from 1 species
GCCUGGCGGGGUGCUAUACAUGCAGUCGAGCGAACAGAUAAGGAGCUUGCUCCUUUGAAGUUAGCGGCGGACGGGUGAGUAACACGUGGGUAACCUACCUAUAAGACUGGGAUAACUUCGGGAAACCGGAGCUAAUACCGGAUAACAUUUAGAACCGCAUGGUUCUAAAGUGAAAGAUGGUUUUGCUAUCACUUAUAGAUGGACCCGCGCCGUAUUAGCUAGUUGGUAAGGUAACGGCUUACCAAGGCGACGAUACGUAGCCGACCUGAGAGGGUGAUCGGCCACACUGGAACUGAGACACGGUCCAGACUCCUACGGGAGGCAGCAGUAGGGAAUCUUCCGCAAUGGGCGAAAGCCUGACGGAGCAACGCCGCGUGAGUGAUGAAGGGUUUCGGCUCGUAAAACUCUGUUAUUAGGGAAGAACAAAUGUGUAAGUAACUGUGCACAUCUUGACGGUACCUAAUCAGAAAGCCACGGCUAACUACGUGCCAGCAGCCGCGGUAAUACGUAGGUGGCAAGCGUUAUCCGGAAUUAUUGGGCGUAAAGCGCGCGUAGGCGGUUUCUUAAGUCUGAUGUGAAAGCCCACGGCUCAACCGUGGAGGGUCAUUGGAAACUGGGAAACUUGAGUGCAGAAGAGGAAAGUGGAAUUCCAUGUGUAGCGGUGAAAUGCGCAGAGAUAUGGAGGAACACCAGUGGCGAAGGCGACUUUCUGGUCUGUAACUGACGCUGAUGUGCGAAAGCGUGGGGAUCAAACAGGAUUAGAUACCCUGGUAGUCCACGCCGUAAACGAUGAGUGCUAAGUGUUAGGGGGUUUCCGCCCCUUAGUGCUGCAGCUAACGCAUUAAGCACUCCGCCUGGGGGAGUACGACCGCAAGGUUGA